rnacentral:rRNA from 1 species
GACGAACGCUGGCGGCGUGCUUAACACAUGCAAGUCGAACGGAAAGGCCCUGCUUUUGUGGGGUGCUCGAGUGGCGAACGGGUGAGUAACACGUGAGUAACCUGCCCUUGACUUUAGGAUAACUUCAGGAAACUGGGGCUAAUACCGGAUAGGAGCUCCUGCUGCAUGGUGGGGGUUGGAAAGUUUCGGCGGUUGGGGAUGGACUCGCGGCUUAUCAGCUUGUUGGUGGGGUAGUGGCUUACCAAGGCUUUGACGGGUAGCCGGCCUGAGAGGGUGACCGGCCACAUUGGGACUGAGAUACGGCCCAGACUCCUACGGGAGGCAGCAGUGGGGAAUAUUGCACAAUGGGCGGAAGCCUGAUGCAGCAACGCCGCGUGCGGGAUGACGGCCUUCGGGUUGUGAACCGCUUUCGCCUGUGACGAAGCGUGAGUGACGGUAAUGGGUAAAGAAGCACCGGCUAACUACGUG